AAAAGGGAGAGUCUACAAAGUUUUUGUUUUCUGUUGGUUUGGGGGCCACAUCCAGCAGUGGUCAGGGGCUACUCCUGGCUCUGCACAAGAGACCACAUUCAGUGCUGGGGAUUGAACCAGGGUCAGCAGCAUGAAGCUAUUGGACACAAGCACCUAAACAUCAAGAUGAUCAGUAUCAUGGCAGGGCAACCUUGAAGGCAUUUUCAAGAAUUCAAAAGUUUGGAAUGAAGAGACAGUUCAAUGAGCUGGAGCACACAUUUUGCAUAAAGAAGGUUUGAUCCUUGCGCACCACCAGGAGCAACCACACAAUCACAAACUUUCCUACCUGCUUAAAAGUCCUCAUAAUAUUGUGGACACCACACCGUUUUCCCCCGACAAGGGAAAGCAAACCAAGAAAGAUCUUUCUCCUCCUCAGCCGGCAUGGGGUUAUGGCCUAGUUCACAGUCUAGAGACAUUG